rnacentral:lncRNA from 1 species
GGAACACGAAUAUUCAGGGGGUGGUGUAGAGAGUGGUAUGCCAGAGAAUGGAGAGGAAAACCCCAUGAGGCAACAGAGGAGCCCAGGGAAGACAGUGUUCCAGGAAAGAGGAAGAAGUCAAGAGCUCAGGGCUUCAAGUGACCACAGAAGUGAAGAACGUCCAAACCCUCUGGACUUCAUAGCAAGGAGGUCAUCGGCAACCCUGGCGAGAACGGCUUCAGGGCAGUUGGGGCGGAUUCAGAUUGCAUGGGAGUCACGAAAGCAGAGGCCCAGAGACGGUGGAAGGAAGUGAGACUGGACGCGGAACCUGUACUUUGAGACUCCAAACUCUGCUGUCUCCUUGCAGAGAGGACCCUCACAUUCCUGGGCUUCGAGGCGCUCAGUGGGCGGAUCUAGUGGUCAACAGUCCAGGUCACAGGCUUCUCCUCCUCUCCUGGGACCGGUGCUGGUCAGCACCCGUCAGGGUUUAGAGAACGUUCUGAGCUUUCAACAGUUCUGUGAGGUGACUGCUGGGGAACCAUUGCUGAGUGGGACAAGGGAGACGCACAGAAACGCAAGUGAGCGUUUGAAGUCAGGGUGCUUGCUGCGUUCUUCUAAGUCACCUGCUCCCUGUGUGGGGCCAUGAGAGGCCUCAGCGUCCCCUAAUGAGGGCAAUGCACCCUCUGGAUGGGCACCCUUCUGCUUCUGCUCCACUGGUACACCCCAAACAAAUGCUUUCUCUCAGUGUAGCUGUUCUUCUGGGAGAAGCUUCCCCCUUAUUCUUCCUGCUUCACCAACAUGGCAGGAUGGAGCUGCCAUGUUCUUCAUGGUCCUGCCCCCUGGCACUAGCCGAUUGGUCCAGGUGAGAAGCCAACCCCAGCUAGCUCAGCUGGAACCCUUCCCCAGGACAUUGAACUUUGCACCAGAGAGUAUGUUGCCUCUUGGGCAACAAAGGCCACACAAGGUCAGACUUGCAAGGCUUCGUGGGCUGUAUUUCUUAUCACAUGGACAAGAUGGAUCUUCAGUGACGGAGAACAGAGCUGACCACAGAGAAAAGCAGGCAUGAGAGAUGGAGGAAAUUGGGGUAUCAGAUGUACCACAGACUCUUGGCAUCCUGAGGCCACAUUGUAGCUCUGCCUUUCUGUGGCAACCGUGGAGAUGCACUUGGAUUUCCCUUCCAAACCAACACCGUUCCGCAGUGAGUACAGGGCACUGUGAACCUGCAGCUGGUGGUGCCUUCAGGAUCCACCUUAAAUUGUGAGCCACGACCAAAC